CUCAGAGCUCUGAGAAAAGUAGAACUACGUAGACAGCAACUGUGCUCAAAAGAUCCUAAUCUUUCACUUCUGCCAUUAAAUUAUUCAUAAACCAGCGUUGGCCUGAAGGUUCUUAUCUGUAAGACAUAGGAUGAGGAAGAUGGGACUUUUUCAGCUAAGAGAGCAAUGUGAAGUUACUCACACGCUACCAAUGAUCCCAAUGACUUUCAAAUACUCUAUCUUCAAGAAGACUUGAUGGUUCCAGGAUAUUCAAGUAGCUCUGAGUUUCCACUCUGAAAGGAAUGACAGCCUUCUAUUGUUAUAGUACUGUGUCAUUUGUCACCAUGGUGUUCUUCAGUGUAAAAUAAAUUUUUGAGAAGAAUUGUUUUCAAGUCUACAGUGAAGAGUUUACAUUAGAUCAGCAGAGGAGGUAUUUUUUCAGUGGAAACUUCACAGAAGAAUCAGUAUCAUAUAAAAUUAAGCAUGAAAUUACAUAGUUAAAAGUGAAGCUGCAACCAGUGGAAGGGGAAGCCCUUGGUCCUGCCAAGACUGAACCCCCAG